UCUUCUUCCCAAACAAAAUUUUAUCAUCUUUAUAUUUUAGCUUCCUUUGUUAUGAAAAAUUUGUGAGUUCAUUGGCAUCUCUCUAAGACAACAUCUAACGUCUUGGAUUCGGCUUCUGUGGUCAUGUUAUCUUCACUCUCCACAAGUUUUUUCCCAUUGCUUGUUUCACAACCAACAUCAGAUGCAUCAUUCAUCUUAUCAGGAGUUGGAAUGUCUAGGGACCCAAUGUCACUCUUUCAGGAAUUUCUUUUAUACCUUUUCAGAUGAAGAUACACUUGUUUUGCAAUCAGCAUCUGAUGCAUCACUCAUCUCAUCUAGAAUUAAAACAACCAGGGACUUAAUGUCACUCUUUUGGGGCUUUCCUUUUAGACUUUUUGGAUGAAGAUACUGGUAAUUAUUUAUACAUUUUAGAUGGUAGUAAAUUUUUUAUGCAAUUGUGGUCCACCAUGUUUAUUUUAUUUGCAAGAAGCAUCUCUUGAUAGACCAGCAACUCGUGAAUUAGGUAUGGAAGAAGACCCAUAUGAAAAUUAGAGAUGGAAAAGAAGUCUAAGUUGAAACACGGGUAGAGGAUACUUACGUAAGUUCAUAUCUUACUUAAAAUUUAUUUUAUAUCAUUUAUUAUAUACUAAUUUUACUUUUAAUAUAGAAUCAAUACUUUCAAGCAAUUGAAGAGAUCAAAAGGAGUCGACUGGCAGAUGAUCAAGGCAAUUCAAUCAUGCCAUCAGGGGAAGAAACUCUCUCAGGAUGGUUGGAUUUAGUUGGGGCGUGUGUAAGGAAGGGCGUAUGACCUUUGCUCUGAGAAGAACUUUUAACGUCUUUAGUCUGGAUUGGAAGGUAUAGGGAGUUCUGUCAUCAUAUGAGCAAUUUAAGGAGAUUUGACAUGAAGUUCGGGAGCUUGCUAGGAAGUAUGAGGAGGAACAAAAAAGAAGGAUGGAGGAGUGGCAUAGGGCGACACUUGAGUUAGACGUCAAAGAAUUCAAACCUCACAUAAAUACCUGGAUGAUGAUGGUGGAGAGGAUGGAAUUGAGUAUUAGGUGGCAUUGUUGUUUUAGGUUUGAAUUUUGUUAGUUUGGAGUGUUUGAAAGAAUUUGUUUGGUGAUUCUUUGCACACUUUUUGAUACUUGUUUUCACAUUGUUUAAGUUGGAUGAAUAUGUAUGAAGUUUGGUUGCUUAAUUUUAAUGUUUGAAUUAUUUCGGAAAUGUUUUUCUUAUUGUUUUGCUGGUUAAUAUUGGUUGUAUGUUGAUUUUCUAUUUAAAUAUUGAGUUUUAGUGCAGUAAAAAACUAAUAAUAAUACCAGAUUGGCAAGGGACUUUUGUAGCU
rnacentral:lncRNA from 1 species